rnacentral:rRNA from 1 species
GACGAACGCUGGCGGCGUGCUUAACACAUGCAAGUCGAACGGAAAGGCCCCUUUGGGGGUACUCUAGUGGCGAACGGGUGUGUAACACGUGAGUAACCUUCCCUUGACUUCGGGAUAACUUCAGGAAACUGGGGCUAAUACCGGUUAGGAAUCCUUUCUGCCUGGGGGGGGUUGGAAAGCUUCGGGGGUUUUGGAUGGACUCGCGGCGUAUCAGCUGGUUGGUGGGGUAGUGGCUUACCAAGGCUCUGGCGGGUAGCCGGCCUGAGAGGGUGACAGGACACGCUGGGACUACGAGACGGCACAGACACCAAAGGGAAGCAGCAGGGGGGAAUAGUGAAAAAGGGGCGAGAGACUGAUGCAGCAACGCCGCGGGCGGGAGGACGGCUUGCGGGUUGAAAACCGCUUUCAGAAAGGGCGAAGCUUGUGGUGACGGUACCUGAAGAAGAAGCACCGGCUAACUACGUG